AAUCCUACUGGACUCACACAAAUAAAAUUGCACAAGCAACUUUGCCUUUGCUGCCCUUGUUUCUUUACUAUCAUGAAUCACUGAAGAUUGGACAUAAGAAAAAAUGUUACCCUCUUGCAAAGGAGGAAGGAAGAGAGAUCCCAAAAGCUGACUGCCUGGCUCCAUUCUCCAGUAGAGGCCUGUGGUGGAUGCUUCAUCGCUGUGACAUAAUACCUACUGGAACAAUGUGUGGGACUAGACAUCAAAGAAGCUAAAAAAGAAAGUAAGAGCAAUGGGAUGCCCGUCACAUGGCAAAAGCUAUAAAAGACCCUGGAAAAACCUCCAUUUUGGUCUUCAAUCCUGCUUCUUAUCUCUCGAGGAACUUUGCUA